UCGACAUAUAUGUUCAUCUGACAUCCAGAAAUCAUUUACGAUCGCUAUGAAAUCAUGCCUCUCGUCUGUAUUUGGAUUAAAUACGUUCGAAAAGUAACAAUUCCAGAUGAUCCAGAAUGUUCCUGGAAGGUGAGAUGCGGUAGAAAGUUAAAAAGUGGACCCACCAUUAAUUCUACCAUUGUUGUUUUAAAAUAUGAAUGUUGAGAUAAAAACUUUCCUUUAAACACGAGACUAAUCAAUGCUUGGUAUACGUUUAGUACCUAACUUUUCGCAGUUUAUGAUUUAAUAUAUUGAUAUUAGUGUGCAAUAAAUUUACAUAAAUAAACAAAUAAUUUAC